rnacentral:lncRNA from 1 species
UAGAAGCUCAGAGUCUAAUUUCUGUGCUUUUCACACAAUGUCUCUCGUUUCUACGGUCGCAAAUCCACUGGUAUAAGUCGUGCUCCAUGUCAGUUUGUGCUGCCUGGCUCCCUCUGUUGGCGAUCUUCUUAGCUGGCAUGGAUACUAGUGGGUUUGUCUGUUUUUGCCGAUAUUGAAUAUUAGAUUCGCCGAUAUUAAACUGACGUCCUGCAGCUCUGUUACCAAAUCUGUCUCCAUAUUCCAUAACUUCCAUCUUCUCUUGUGAUGUCAGGAAGCUGUUUUUCUUUCCCAUCUAGUAGACUGGUAGUGGAGUUCAGGUACAUAGUAGUUGGUAGUGGAGUUCAGGUACAUAAUAGUUGGUAGUGGAGGUCAGGUACAUAGUAGUUGGUAGUGGAGUUCAGGUACAUAGUAGUUGGUAGUGGAGUUCAGGUACAUAGUAGUUGGCAGUGGAGGUCAGGUACAUAGUAAUUGGUAGUGGAGUUCAGGUACAUAGUAGAUUGGUAGUGGAGGUCAGGUACAUAGUAGAUUGGUAGUGGAGUUCAGGUACAUAGUAGUUGGUAGUGGAGUUCAGGUACAUAGUAGAUUGGUAGUGGAGUUCAGGUACAUAGUAGUUGGUAGUGGAGGUCAGGUACAUAGUAGUUGGUAGUGGAGUUCAGGUACAUAGUAGUUGGUAGUGGAGUUCAGGUACAUAGUAGUUGGUAGUGGAGUUCAGGUACAUAGUAGUUGGUAGUGGAGUUCAGGUACAUAGUAGUUGGUAGUGGAGUUCAGGUACAUAGUAGUUGGUAGUGGAGUUCAGGUACAUAGUAGUUGGUAGUGGAGUUCAGGUACAUAGUAGUUGGUAGUGGAGUUCAGGUACAUAGUAGUUGGUAGUGGAGUUCAGGUACAUAGUAGUUGGUAGUGGAGUUCAGGUACAUAGUAGUUGGUAGUGGAGUUCAGGUACAUAGUAGUUGGUAGUGGAGUUCAGGUACAUAGUAGUUGGUAGUGGAGUUCAGGUACAUAGUAGUUGGUAGUGGAGUUCAGGUACAUAGUAGUUGGUAGUGGAGUUCAGGUACAUAGUAGUUGGUAGUGGAGUUCAGGUACAUAGUAGUUGGUAGUGGAGUUCAGGUACAUAGUAGUUGGUAGUGGAGUUCAGGUACAUAGUAGUUGGUAGUGGAGUUCAGGUACAUAGUAGUUGGUAGUGGAGUUCAGGUACAUAGUAGUUGGUAGUGGAGUUCAGGUACAUAGUAGUUGGUAGUGGAGUUCAGGUACAUAGUAGUUGGUAGUGGAGUUCAGGUACAUAGUAGUUGGUAGUGGAGUUCAGGUACAUAGUAGUUGGUAGUGGAGUUCAGGUACAUAGUAGUUGGUAGUGGAGUUCAGGUACAUAGUAGUUGGUAGUGGAGUUCAGGUACAUAGUAGUUGGUAGUGGAGUUCAGGUACAUAGUAGUUGGUAGUGGAGUUCAGGUACAUAGUAGUUGGUAGUGGAGUUCAGGUACAUAGUAGUUGGUAGUGGAGUUCAGGUACAUAGUAGUUGGUAGUGGAGUUCAGGUACAUAGUAGUUGGUAGUGGAGUUCAGGUACAUAGUAGUUGGUAGUGGAGUUCAGGUACAUAGUAAUUGGUAGUGGAGGUCAGGUACAUAGUAGAUUGGUAGUGGAGGUCAGGUACAUAGUAGUUGGUAGUGGAGGUCAGGUACAUAGUAGUUGGUAGUGGAGGUCAGGUACAUAGUAGUUGGUAGUGGAGGUCAGGUACAUAGUAGUUGGUAGUGGAGGUCAGGUACAUAGUAGUUGGUAGUGGAGGUCAGGUACAUAGUAGUUGGUAGUGGAGGUCAGGUACAUAGUAGUUGGUAGUGGAGGUCAGGUACAUAGUAGUUGGUAGUGGAGGUCAGGUACAUAGUAGUUGGUAGUGGAGGUCAGGUACAUAGUAGUUGGUAGUGGAGGUCAGGUACAUAGUAGUUGGUAGUGGAGGUCAGGUACAUAGUGGUUGGUAGUGGAGGUCAGGUACAUAGUAGUUGGUAGUGGAGGUCAGGUACAUAGUAGAUUGGUAGUGGAGUUCAGGUACAUAGUAGAUUGGUAGUGGAGUUCAGGUACAUAGUAGAUUGGUAGUGGAGGUCAGGUACAUAGUAGUUGGUAGUGGAGGUCAGGUACAUAGUAGUUGGUAGUGGGUUUCAGGAAGUUGUUGGUAGUGGAGUUCAGGUACAUAGUAGUUGGUAGUGGGUUUCAGGAAGUAGUAGUAGUAGUAGUAGUAGUAGUAGUAGUGGAGGCAUGUAGCAUAUGUCUCAACCUCACAAACACACGUAUUUUAUGCAAGUUGGUAAUGAUACUUUCCACACAUAGAUUUGUCAAACAACACCAGGCAAAACAGGCAUAUCCCUACAUCAAGGCCUACUAGGCAUCAUUGACGACAACUCCCUCACCCAAACCAUAGACAAACCCACAAGAGGAGAACACAUCCUUGACAUAACACUCACAAAUCGAACAUCUAUCAUCAACAAACAAGAAAUAAUCCCACCCAUAGGCAAUGCAGAUCAUAUUAUGUACAGAAGCAGACAUUAGACUACACAAAGCUCGCAAACCACCUAGGAACAUUAACUUAUAUAACAAAGCAAACUGGGACAACAUCAGAAAAGACCUCACUGAUCUAUUAAAUUACAACUUUCCGGAACUCGAACAUCAAACGCAGAAGACAUCUAGGAAGCUUCAAAACAACACUUCAUACAUCUACAGAAAAAAACAUACCAAUAAAAUCACUAACAUUCAAACAGACUACCCUGGAUGAACAACUCACUUUGUUGCCUCUCAAACAAGUCUUAUUGCCUCCAUGCCAUCAUAAAUUAAGAACAAACAACAAACUAAUCCACAUAUACAAAACAAUUAAAAGCUGGAGUGCAAAUACACUGAGAAGAUGAUUACAGACUUACCAAUAGGUGAACUUGACGACCCCCGCACAAGGAACAAAUAUACAACCCUAAAAAAACUCUUUUCGUUCCUGAAAAUCACAAAAAAAGAUAAUCCAGAUAUCACAGCACUACGUAAAAUUGAGCACCAAACAACAGUGCCAGAAACAAAGGCAAACAUACUUAAUGAACAGUUCCAAGAAGCCUUCAAAACAGAACAAAACACAACAAUACCUGACAAAGGAAUAUCGCCCCACCCACCAAUGCCAGAUAAACACAUAACAAGCCAACUCAAGGAGUCAACAAACUACUCAAUAACAUCAACCCACACAAAGAAACAGGCCCAGACCAUAGACACGGCAGCUUGAAUACUGAAAGAACUUCAGGACAUUACAGCAUCAAUACUAUCAAACAUCACUCAAUACAGGAACAUUACCCAGUGACUGGAAACACGCCAACGUAAACCCCAUAUACAAAAAAAGGAGACAAAUACAACCCAACAAACUACAGACCAAUGUCACUCCCAGGCACCGAUGCAAACCUCUAGAACAUGUCUUCCCAAGUGCAGCCAUGAAACACUUAGAAGACAACAAAAUACUGCAUGACCUACAACAUGGCUUCCACACAUCAAGAUCUUGCGAAACACAACUUAACAACAACAAACAAACAUACAUUAUCAUUAUGGACUUUGUCAAAGUCCCAAUCAAACACUUACAGUACAAACUACAUUAUUACGGCAUCAACGGGACCACGCUAACAUGGAUCACAGAUUUUCUAUCACAACGCAUCCAAACAGUAUUACUUGAGGGUAAACACUAUGACAUCCCAGUAAUAUCUGGAGUGCCUCGAGGAACCUGUUUGGGACCAGUCCUCUUCCUCAUAUACACUGACAACUUCCCCUAAUACAUAUCACACAGUACACUAAGACUUUUCGCAGAUGACAGUAUACUCUGCAAAACCAUCAAUAACAAAAACGAUACAAUAAAACUACAAACAGAUUUAGACGCAGCUAGCAAAUGGGACAAGGACACACUCCCCGACCACACACUAGAAUCUGUAACAUCAAACAAAUAUCUAGGUCUCGCACUAAAAUAAACACUAAAACGGAACAAACACAUCCAACUACAUCACAUUCAAUGCAAAUAAAUCAGUAGCCUUUUUGAAACGCAACCUGAAAGUACAUAUAAGGCCAUCGUAAGACCUAAACUUGAAUACUGUUCUUCAGUUUGGGACACUCAUUACACAAAUAAUAUCAGAUCAAUUGGAAAAAGUACAACAAAGAGCAGUACGCUACGUCCUAAACAAAUACCAUAACACAAGCUCAGUCACAGAUAUGAUGCACAACUUGUAAUGGCCAACACUACACACACGCAGAACAAGAGCACGCAUUAUUCUUUUCUACAAAAUAAUACACCAAUAAGUAGCAAUACACUUGCACCACAUAUAACAUAAUCCAACACAUACAAAAUCAACAACACAAACAACACACUGUUUUUAACCAGAAUUUGAUCCUAUUCC